rnacentral:rRNA from 1 species
UACGUAGGGGCCUAGCGUUGUCCGGAAUUAUUGGGCGUAAAGAGCGUGUAGGCGGUUUGGUAGGUCCGCUGUGAAAACUCGAGGCUCAACCUCGAGACGCCGGUGGAAACCAUCAGACUAGAGUCCGGAAGAGGAGAGUGGAAUUCCUGGUGUAGCGGUGAAAUGCGCAGAUAUCAGGAAGAACACCCGUGGCUAAGGCGGCUCUCUAGUACGGUACUGACGCUGAGACGCGAAAGCGUGGGGAGCGAACAGG